rnacentral:rRNA from 1 species
UACGAAGGGGGCGAGCGUUGUUCGGAAUCACUGGGCGUAAAGGGUGCGUAGGCGGGUCUUUAAGUCAGGGGUGAAAUCCUGGAGCUCAACUCCAGAACUGCCUUUGAUACUGAGGAUCUUGAGUUCGGGAGAGGUGAGUGGAACUGCGAGUGUAGAGGUGAAAUUCGUAGAUAUUCGCAAGAACACCAGUGGCGAAGGCGGCUCACUGGCCCGAUACUGACGCUGAGGCACGAAAGCGUGGGGAGCAAACAGG